AGGUGCUGGAGUAGUUUGCAUGCAAUGGGGCAGCUUUGUAGUCUCUGCCUUGAAGCCCCACAGGUGUCACAGAUGAGUUCCCCUGCAGCUGAAGAUGAGGAGGAUGAGGGGAAAAGUUGGUGUCUGACAGCCCAGUGUCAGGGCAAGUCCAUUACUGCUGCAUCUGCUGCCCACGCAGCACAGCCCUGAGCCCUGCUGUGAUGUUAGUGAGACAGCAGCAGCGUUUGCCUGUCAGCCUGCUCAGCCCUGCAGACACCCAGGAUAACAGGGCAGGAAGGAAAAAGUGACCAUUU